rnacentral:rRNA from 1 species
GACAGAGGAGCCAAGCGUUGUCCGGAUUGACUGGGCGUAAAGCGCACGCAGGCGGCUCUGUGCGUGGGGUGUGAAAGCUCUUGGCUUAACUAAGAGAGGCCAUCCCAUACGGCAGGGCUCGAGCCAUGCAGAGGUCCGCGGAAUUGCCGGUGUAGUGGUGAAAUGCGUAGAGAUCGGCAGGAACACCCAGGGGGAAACCAGCGGACUGGGCAUGUGCUGACGCUCAGGUGCGACAGCGUGGGGAGCGAACCGG